UACGAGGGGGGCAAGCGGUUGUUCGGAAUUAUUGGGCGUGAAAGGGCGCAGGUGGCGGUUUGACAAGUCGUUGAUGUGAAAUCUCUGGGCUCGAACCCACGAGUGCUGCAUUAGAAACUGUCGGGCUUGAGUAUGGGAGAGGUGAGUGGAAUUUCCGGUGUAGCGGUGAAAUGCGUAGAUAUCGGAAGGAACACCUGUGGCGAAAGCGGCUCACUGGACCAUAACUGACGCUGAGGCGCGAAAGCUAGGGGAGCAAACAGG
rnacentral:rRNA from 1 species